UGGGGAAUAUUGCACAAUGGGGGAAACCCUGAUGCAGCAACGCCGCGUGAGUGAUGAGGGCCUUCGGGUUGUAAAGCUCUGUCUUCAGGGACGAUAAUGACGGUACCUGAGGAGGAAGCCACGGCUAACUACGUGCCAGCAGCCGCGGUAAUACGUAGGUGGCAAGCGUUGUCCGGAUUUACUGGGCGUAAAGGGAGUGUAGGCGGAUACUUAAGUCAGAUGUGAAAUACCCGGGCUCAACUUGGGUGCUGCAUUUUAAACUGGGUAUCUAGAGUGCAGGAGAGGAAAGUGGAAUUCCUAGUGUAUCGGUGAAAUGCGUAGAGAUUAGGAAGAACACCAGUGGCGAAGGCGACUUUCUUGACUGUAACUGACGCUGAGGCUCGAAAGCGUGGGGAGCAAACAGG
rnacentral:rRNA from 2 species